rnacentral:rRNA from 1 species
CAGUAGCCGCGGAAUACGUAGGUGGCAAGCGUUGUCCGGAAUUAUUGGGCGUAAAGGGCUCGCAGGCGGUUUCUUAAGUCUGAUGUGAAAGCCCCCGGCUCAACCGGGGAGGGUCAUUGGAAACUGGGAAACUUGAGUGCAGAAGAGGAGAGUGGAAUUCCACGUGUAGCGGUGAAAUGCGUAGAGAUGUGGAGGAACACCAGUGGCGAAGGCGACUCUCUGGUCUGUAACUGACGCUGAGGAGCGAAAGCGUGGGGAGCGAACAGGAUUAGAUACCCCCGUAGUCCCUGUCUCUUAUACA